rnacentral:rRNA from 1 species
UACGGGGGGGGCAAGCGUUGUUCGGAAUUACUGGGCGUAAAGGGUUUGUAGGUGGCCGGCUAAGUCAGACGUGAAAUCCCUCAGCUUAACUGGGGAACUGCGUCUGAAACUGAUCGGCUCGAGUGCAGGAGAGGAACGCGGAAUUCCAGGUGUAGCGGUGAAAUGCGCAGAUAUCAGGAGGAACACCGGUGGCGAAGGCGGAUCUCUGGGCCUUACCUGACGCUCAGGCGCGAAAGCUAGGGGAGCGAACAGG